UACCGGCUGCUCGAGUGAUGGCCACUAUUACUGGGUUUAAAGCGUCCGUAGCUUGACUGUUAGGUCUCUUGGGAAAUCUUCACGCUCAACGUGAAGGCGUCUAAGAGAUACCGGCAGUCUUGGAACUGGGAGAGGUAAACCGUACUUCGGGGGUAGGAGUGAAAUCUUGUAAUCCUCGAGGGACGACCUAUGGCGAAGGCAGUUUACCAGAACAGCUUCGACAGUGAGGGACGAAAGCUGGGGGAGCAAACGGGAUUAGAUACCCCGGUAGUCCCAGCCGUAAACAAUGUGCGUUAGGUGUGUCGGUAACCACGUGUUACUGAUGCGCCGAAGAGAAAUCGUGAAACGCACCACCUGGGAAGUACGGUCGCAAGGCUGAAACUUAAAGGAAUUGGCGGGGGAGCACCACAACAGGUGGAGCCUGCGGUUUAAUUGGAUUCAACGCCGGACAUCUCACCGGAUAAGACAGCUGAAUGAUUGUCAAUCUGAAGGUUUUACAUGACUAGCUGAGAGGAGGUGCAUGGCCGUCGUCAGUUCGUACUGUGAAGCAUCCUGUUAAGUCAGGCAACGAACGAGACCCACGCCGACAAUUGCCAGCAGCAUCUCCGGAUGGCUGGGGACAUUGUCGGGACCGCCUCUGCUAAAGAGGAGGAAGGAAUGGGCAACGGUAGGUCAGCAUGCCCCGAAUUAUCCGGGCUACACGCGGGCUACAAUGGACGGGACAAUGGGUAACAACACCGAAAGGUGCAGUCAAUCUCCUAACCCCGUCCUUAGUUAGGAUUGCGGGUUGCAACUCACCCGCAUGAAUCUGGAAUCUGUAGUAAUCGCGUUUCACUAUAGCGCGGUGAAUACGUCCCUGCUCCUUGCACACACCGCCCGUCAAACCAUCCUAGUGGGGUUUGGAUGAGUCCCUGGUCUU
rnacentral:rRNA from 1 species